AACGAACGCUGGCGGCAGGCCUAACACAUGCAAGUCGAACGCCGUAGCAAUACGGAGUGGCAGACGGGUGAGUAACACGUGGGAACGUACCCUUCGGUUCGGGAUAACUCAGGGAAACUUGAGCUAAUACCGGAUACGUCCGAGAGGAGAAAGAUUUAUUGCCGAGGGAUCGGCCCGCGUCUGAUUAGCUUGUUGGUGAGGUAACGGCUCACCAAGGCGACGAUCAGUAGCUGGUCGAGAGGAUGAUCAGCCACAUUGGGACUGAGACACGGCCCAAACUCCUACGGGAGGCAGCAGUGGGGAAUAUUGGACAAUGGGCGCAAGCCUGAUCCAGCCAUGCCGCGUGAGUGAUGAAGGCCCUAGGGUUGUAAAGCUC
rnacentral:rRNA from 1 species